CCCCUGUGAUGAGUUGCCAUGCUAAUACUGAGAUAUCAGGAGAGGUGUUUUACCUUGCACUGGGUGUUGAGAUAAAUUCUGCUUCUCUUAAAUCUACCUGAGGGGC
rnacentral:snoRNA from 9 species